UGCGCUGCGGCCGGGUCGGAUCUGAGACGAGCACUCCCCAACUUGUUACCAUCUCAUCCUCAUCCACCCCGCCUCCUCCCGUCUCCCCCUCCGCCGGAUCUGAUCGGAUCCGCCCGACCAACCCGCGCCGCCGCCGCAGGUAAACAUCCCCUCCGUCCCCGCCUCUCCCGCCGUCGGUCCGCCGCUCUGCUCUGAGUUCGGUGGGGUUUGCCCGCCGUAGGGUUUUCCUUUUGUUUUGUACUAGUAUCUUGUUUUCUAGGAGCCAGGGGGGUUCUUGAUCCGCCGCGCUGGCAAUGGUUUGCCUGGUUGCUUCGUGCCUCGGAUGAUAGGCUUGCGCGCGCGCGUCUUGCGCAUUUCUAGCCAUCAGCGUACAAGAUUGGUGCUCCCAUAACAGCUUUUGCGUUUUUUUUCUGUUAUAUGUACCGCGAAAUGUUUCCUUUUUCUUUUGCUAUAAUCCUAUAGUUAGAGAUGGGGGGGGUCUCUUUCGUACCCGCCUGUUUGGAACGGGUAGUGAAUGGUUCUUGUCACUCGUAGAAUUCUUGUCGUGUUCUAGAGGACGGAAGAGGAAAGGUUCACCACGUGGUCGGAUGAAAUGGACUCCUUGGAAUGCCAUGCAUGUUUAGGAAAAGUUUGUGCUUCCGUGUCAGCAUGCUUUAAUCUUUGUUUAUGCGGUAAAAACUGGUGGAGAACUGCUUAGGUUUUUACUGUAUACUGUAAAGGUUGCUGCUGAAAUGAUAGUGAUGCUGAUUUUACAUCUCCUAAUAAAAUGGUUAGGAAAAAGAAUCUGACUUUUGGUUAGUUUUGUCUUAUGACGAUCUACAAGCAAAUCCCCAUGCUCAAAGCACUUUUUGAUAGGCAACAUGCACAUGCUGCUAUGGGGUUUCUGAGGGGUUUUCUUUCUGCAAGCAGUUAAAAAUUUGGAGCUACUGGGUCUUGCUUUUACCAUGUCCCGUGAUGUGUUGCUUCAUAAAUAUUACCUUUUUGCCUUACAGUAGGUAGUGGAAGCAUAUUUGAGUGGUUAUUUUGUUCCUAGGAUCUCAUUGGGCGAUUUUUUAUUCUUAUGCUGAUUCGGCCGAGACUUGGUAGAUUCCUUGUGCCUUGCAUCCACUAGCCACACAUAUGGACCAUACUUAUUCUUAUGGUGAUUCGGCUGAGACUUGGUAGAUUCCUUGUGCCUUGCAUCCACUAGCCACACAUAUGGACCAUACUCUUGUGCCAGCAGAUCAGAAAUGCCAAACUUUUUAUUGGAGGAAUUUAGAGCAUGACGAAUCUCUCAGCCUGGAGUGUGUGGUCUUGUUAUGUGCCAACAAAACAGAAGGUUUUCAUGGCCAUAAGAUACAAAGAUGCCCUUUUUGUUGCUUGUUUAUUAGACUAAUGUUUCUUUUUUAUAUUUCCUUAUACUGCAUGAGACAAUAGGACAAAUUUCGGUAAAGUAUCCUGGCCUAAAAGAAGUACUGUGUUUGCUAAGAAUCCAGAUUGUCCUGUCAGUGUGAUUUAUAAACAUUUCAACAAAUUGAUUAGUUAUUGGUCUUAUGUAUAUGAGCAUAUCAAUCUCUGCUUUGUUGAUCACGAAUUUGUUUGGUUGCAGUAAUUUUUACUUUGCCUGAGCGAUUUUUUCUACCAUAUUGUCUGUAACUAAACAUUUGUAUUGCCUGCUGCAGAUCAGAAAAGAUGGCCGCAGUCGACACCUUCCUCUUCACCUCGGAGUCCGUGAAUGAGGGACACCCUGACAAGCUCUGCGACCAGGUCUCAGAUGCUGUGCUUGAUGCUUGCCUUGCUGAGGACCCCGACAGCAAGGUUGCUUGCGAGACCUGCACCAAGACUAACAUGGUCAUGGUCUUUGGUGAGAUCACCACCAAGGCCAACGUCGACUACGAGAAGAUUGUCAGGGACACUUGCCGCAACAUCGGUUUCGUGUCGGCAGAUGUCGGGCUUGACGCUGACCACUGCAAGGUGCUCGUGAACAUUGAGCAGCAGUCCCCUGAUAUUGCUCAGGGUGUGCAUGGCCACUUCACAAAGCGCCCUGAGGAGAUCGGAGCUGGUGACCAGGGACACAUGUUUGGGUAUGCAACUGAUGAGACCCCUGAGCUGAUGCCCCUCAGCCACGUCCUUGCCACCAAGCUUGGUGCUCGUCUCACAGAGGUGCGCAAGAAUGGGACCUGCCCCUGGCUCAGGCCUGAUGGGAAGACCCAGGUGACUGUCGAGUACCGCAAUGAGGGUGGUGCGAUGGUCCCCAUCCGUGUCCACACUGUCCUCAUCUCUACCCAGCACGACGAGACAGUCACCAACGAUGAGAUUGCCGCUGACCUCAAGGAGCAUGUCAUCAAGCCUGUCAUCCCUGAGCAGUACCUUGACGAGAAGACCAUCUUCCACCUUAACCCAUCUGGUCGCUUUGUCAUCGGUGGACCUCAUGGUGAUGCUGGUCUCACUGGCCGGAAGAUCAUCAUUGACACCUAUGGUGGCUGGGGAGCCCACGGUGGUGGUGCUUUCUCCGGCAAGGACCCAACCAAGGUUGACCGCAGUGGAGCCUACAUUGCCAGGCAAGCUGCCAAGAGCAUUGUCGCUAAUGGCCUUGCUCGCCGCGCCAUCGUCCAGGUCUCCUAUGCCAUCGGUGUGCCUGAGCCCCUCUCCGUGUUUGUUGACACAUAUGGCACUGGCACGAUCCCCGACAAGGAGAUCCUCAAGAUUAUUAAGGAGAACUUCGACUUCAGGCCUGGCAUGAUCAUCAUCAACCUUGACCUCAAGAAAGGCGGCAACGGGCGCUACCUCAAGACAGCUGCCUACGGUCACUUCGGAAGGGACGACCCUGACUUCACCUGGGAGGUGGUGAAGCCCCUCAAGUGGGAGAAGCCUUCUGCCUAAGGCGCCCUUUGAGAAGAAGCUUUUGGUCUGCUGCGCUUAUCAUGUUUGGUGGCUUCUGUGUUGUGAUUCUUGAUCUGCCCCUUGCUAUCAUUUGUAUUGU
rnacentral:lncRNA from 1 species